rnacentral:rRNA from 1 species
UACGUAGGGGGCUAGCGUUAUCCGGAAUUACUGGGCGUAAAGGGUGCGUAGGUGGUUUCUUAAGUCAGAGGUGAAAGGCUACGGCUCAACCGUAGUAAGCCUUUGAAACUGGGGAACUUGAGUGCAGGAGAGGAGAGUGGAAUUCCUAGUGUAGCGGUGAAAUGCGUAGAUAUUAGGAGGAACAUCAGUUGCGAAGGCGGCUCUCUGGACUGUAACUGACACUGAGGCACGAAAGCGUGGGGAGCAAACAGG